rnacentral:rRNA from 1 species
AAAACUUUACAAUGCGGGAAACCGUGAUAAGGGGACACCGAGUGCCAGCAUCAUAUGCUGGCUGUCCGGGUGUGUAAAAUACACCUGUUAGCAAGGGCCGGGCAAGACCGGUGCCAGCCGCCGCGGUAACACCGGCGGCCCGAGUGGUGAUCGUGAUUAUUGGGUCUAAAGGGUCCGUAGCCGGUUUGGUCAGUCCUCCGGGAAAUCUGAUAGCUUAACUAUUAGGCUUUCGGGGGAUACUGCCAGACUUGGAACCGGGAGAGGUAAGAGGUACUACAGGGGUAGGAGUGAAAUCUUGUAAUCCCUGUGGGACCACCUGUGGCGAAGGCGUCUUACCAGAACGGGUUCGACGGUGAGGGACGAAAGCUGGGGGCACGAACCGGAUUAGAUACCCGGGUAGUCCCAGCCGUAAACGAUGCUCGCNAGGUGUCAGGCAUGGCGCGACCGUGUCUGGUGCCGCAGGGAAGCCGUGAAGCGAGCCACC